CUCAGACGGGCCUGCCCUGGGCUAUGGAGGGCCCGCGCGCGCGUGUGUGUAUAUAUGGAGCUCUUGCUCUUGCCUUGCGUUUCCAAGUGGUAUUCCUUCGGUCGUCCAAUAAUAAACUCGUGAUUCUUUCCCUUCUGGUUUCGUUCUGGCUUCCUUGCUUCCUUCCUUCCUGUCCCCGUCCCUGUCCCUGUCUCUCCUUCCCU
rnacentral:lncRNA from 1 species